rnacentral:rRNA from 1 species
CCUACGGGAGGCAGCAGUGGGGAAUUUUGGACAAUGGGCGAAAGCCUGAUCCAGCAAUGCCGCGUGUGGGAAGAAGGCCUUCGGGUUGUAAACCACUUUUGUACGGAACGAAACGGCUCGCUUUAAUACAGUGGGCUAAUGACGGUACCGUAAGAAUAAGCACCGGCUAACUACGUGCCAGCAGCCGCGGUAAUACGUAGGGUGCGAGCGUUAAUCGGAAUUACUGGGCGUAAAGCGUGCGCAGGCGGUUAUAUAAGACAGUUGUGAAAUCCCCGGGCUCAACCUGGGAAUUGCAUCUGUGACUGUAUAGCUAGAGUACGGUAGAGGGGGAUGGAAUUCCGCGUGUAGCAGUGAAAUGCGUAGAUAUGCGGAGGAACACCGAUGGCGAAGGCAAUCCCCUGGACCUGUACUGACGCUCAUGCACGAAAGCGUGGGGAGCAAACAGGAUUAGAUACCCUGGUAGUCCACGCCCUAAACGAUGUCAACUGGUUGUUGGGUGCAUUAGUACUCAGUAACGAAGCUAACGCGUGAAGUUGACCGCCUGGGGAGUACGGCCGCAAGGUUGAAACUCAAAUGAAAUUGACGG